rnacentral:rRNA from 1 species
GGGGGGGGCCCUAUAAUGCAGUCGAGCGAAUGGAUUAAGAGCUUGCUCUUAUGAAGUUAGCGGCGGACGGGUGAGUAACACGUGGGUAACCUGCCCAUAGGACUGGGAUAACUCCGGGAAACCGGGGCUAAUACCGGAUAACAUUUUGAACCGCAUGGUUCGAAAUUGAAAGGCGGCUUCGGCUGUCACUUAUGGAUGGACCCGCGUCGCAUUAGCUAGUUGGUGAGGUAACGGCUCACCAAGGCAACGAUGCGUAGCCGACCUGAGAGGGUGAUCGGCCACACUGGGACUGAAACCCGGCCCAAACUCCUACGGGAGGCAUCAGUAGGGAAUCUUCCGCAAUGGACGAAAGUCUGACGGAGCAACGCCGCGUGAGUGAUGAAGGCUUUCGGGUCGUAAAACUCUGUUGUUAGGGAAGAACAAGUGCUAGUUGAAUAAGCUGGCACCUUGACGGUACCUAACCAAAAAGCCACGGCUAACUACGUGCCAGCAGCCGCGGUAAUACGUAGGUGGCAAGCGUUAUCCGGAAUUAUUGGGCGUAAAGCGCGCGCAGGUGGUUUCUUAAUUCUGAUGUGAAACCCCACGGCUCAACCGUGGAGGGUCAUUGGAAACUGGGAGACUUGAGUGCAGAAGAGGAAAGUGGAAUUCCAUGUGUAGCGGUGAAAUGCGUAGAGAUAUGGAGGAACACCAGUGCCGAAGGCGACUUUCUGGUCUGUACUGACACUGAGGCGCGAAAGCGUGAGGAGCAAACAUGAUUAGAUACGCUGGUUAGUCCACGCAGUAAACGAUGAGUGCUA